GCUGGGGAUAUAGCUCAGUUGGUAGAGUGUUUGUCUCCCAUGUAUAAGGCCCUGGGUUCAAUCCCCAGUCCUAACA